rnacentral:SRP_RNA from 1 species
GCUUUAAAGAGUAGCGUGGCAGUGCACUUGGGGAGCUGAGGCAGGAGGAUUCUUGAGCCCUGGAGUCCUAGGCUGCCGUGUGUUAUGUCCAUCAGGUGUCUGCACUAAAUUGAGCAUCAAUAUGGUAAAAUUCCAGGAGAGAGUGGGGGCUACCAGGUUGCCCAAGGAGGGGUAAAACAGCCAGUUGGAAAUGAAGCAUCUCAAAACAUCAGUGCUGAUCAGUAGUGAGAUUGCACCUGAGAACAGCCACUGUGCUCCAGCCUCGGCAACACAGAGAGACCCCCAUCUCU